rnacentral:rRNA from 1 species
AGAGUUUGAUCAUGGCUCAGAUUGAACGCUGGCGGCAGGCCUAACACAUGCAAGUCGAGCGGUAGCACAGAGAGCUUGCUCUCGGGUGACGAGCGGCGGACGGGUGAGUAAUGUCUGGGAAACUGCCUGAUGGAGGGGGAUAACUACUGGAAACGGUAGCUAAUACCGCAUAAUGUCGCAAGACCAAAGUGGGGGACCUUCGGGCCUCAUGCCAUCAGAUGUGCCCAGAUGGGAUUAGCUAGUAGGUGGGGUAACGGCUCACCUAGGCGACGAUCCCUAGCUGGUCUGAGAGGAUGACCAGCCACACUGGAACUGAGACACGGUCCAGACUCCUACGGGAGGCAGCAGUGGGGAAUAUUGCACAAUGGGCGCAAGCCUGAUGCAGCCAUGCCGCGUGUGUGAAGAAGGCCUUCGGGUUGUAAAGCACUUUCAGCGGGGAGGAAGGCGUUAAGGUUAAUAACCUUGGCGAUUGACGUUACCCGCAGAAGAAGCACCGGCUAACUCCGUGCCAGCAGCCGCGGUAAUACGGAGGGUGCAAGCGUUAAUCGGAAUUACUGGGCGUAAAGCGCACGCAGGCGGUCUGUCAAGUCGGAUGUGAAAUCCCCGGGCUCAACCUGGGAACUGCAUUCGAAACUGGCAGGCUAGAGUCUUGUAGAGGGGGGUAGAAUUCCAGGUGUAGCGGUGAAAUGCGUAGAGAUCUGGAGGAAUACCGGUGGCGAAGGCGGCCCCCUGGACAAAGACUGACGCUCAGGUGCGAAAGCGUGGGGAGCAAACAGGAUUAGAUACCCUGGUAGUCCACGCCGUAAACGAUGUCGAUUUGGAGGUUGUGCCCUUGAGGCGUGGCUUCCGGAGCUAACGCGUUAAAUCGACC